rnacentral:misc_RNA from 1 species
AACCUUAUGGACCUGCGGGCGUAUACCUGCGGAAGGAUCAUUACAAGUGACCCCGGUCUAACCACCGGGAUGUUCAUAACCCUUUGUUGUCCGACUCUGUUGCCUCCGGGGCGACCCUGCCUUCGGGCGGGGGCUCCGGGUGGACACUUCAAACCCUUGCGUAACUUUGCAGUCUGAGUAAACUUAAUUAAUAAAUUAAAACUUUUAACAACGGAUCU